rnacentral:lncRNA from 1 species
GUAUUUGAAUUUGUGGCGCUUGGUGUCCGCGAGUUGCCGAAUGAAGCUGAGCGUCUCAGUGGAACCAGGGAUCUCAGGGAGGGGAAGGUAUAAAAUUUUCAAAUGGAGGAGUAUACCUGAACCUAAUCAUGGAUGUGAUUUUAUGUAAGUAAUAUGUGAGAUACAGAUAAGCUGAUUCUAAAACUUACAAGAAUGGCAAAGAAACAAGAAGAGCUUAAACUGCAAUCAUCAACAGAGAAGCUUUCUGCAACCAAAGUGAAGACUGAAGCCUUAGGCUAUGGCAGAAGUUGGGCGCCUGAAGUACACGUGGAAAUAUGCCAACUGAACAUUGGACUACCACCGCCUGCCCCUGGCUCAGCGCCCGGUGCCAACAGAACACCUUUCAGGAUCCACAGCAACGCAGACAACGUAAGUACCAGCCGUUCCCUGAAACCCUUUUGCAGAUUUUUUAAAAACAACCACCUAAAACAUAGAGAGAGAGAGACAAGCCUCUUUCCCCUUCUUCUCCCCUGCGUUAUGCCACCAGUGUUUCCUCAGUAGCCCCUUCCAAAUCGCUCUGCCUUCAAGUUUGUGCAUGUCUGUGUGGCAUCCCUCCUCCUCCUUCACUCCCAUAGUGGAUCUUGUAAAAGGGCUUCAGAUCGGCCCCAUUCAUCUCCCUGGUGAUAGCAGUGAAUGUAGAUAAAUCUCUGGCUGCCUGCUUGCUGCUGGAGUAUGAUUUUUAUUUUGUCUUCUGUGUAUACCUGGGUCAAAAAGUGGGAUGUAUGCAUACACAUACAUGCACAUACACAUAUUUCCUUCUCUCUCCUCUCUCUCCCUCCUUUUUCUCACACAUGCAUACAUCCUACAUAUGUGUGUAUAUGCAUAAACAUAUACACCUAUAUACAUACCCAUACCUGUAGCACAAAAUAUAUACAUAUCUAAACGUUUGUCUGAAAAUAUGCAUAUUUAUAUACACAUACAACCUUACACAUGUGUUUAUACGCAAUCGAUAGGUGCCUAUCUUUUAAUUUAUACCCAUCUAUAUCUCCAUUUAAAUAUUCCCUCUCUUCUCCCAGCAGAGGCUGUGUGCAAUUGCAAUCCAGGAUUAUACAAGCAGUAUUCUUUCCUUAUGAUUUCUAGUUGUAGACCUUUAUCCUCCUUUCUCUGCCUUCUUCGCAGCUGUAGAAUUGGCAUCUUUCCCUGAGGUUUUCCGAGUGGCAAGUGGCACCGGCUGUGGCAUGUAUUCAUGCCGCUUCCUAUGGCAUUUCUCUUCCGAUGUCUGCUUUUUCUUUGUUUGUUGUUGACUAGGCUGAAUGGUGGGGUUUUUUUUAAGUUAAUUAUAAACGAAGUUGAAAUAGCAAACAAGCCAACAGCUUGUCCCCCCCACCAAAAGAAAAAUUAGCCCCACACAAGCGCCUUCUGCUGCAACAGAUGCCCAGAUCACCCCUGGCACGGGCAAACGGGCAAACGAUUUUGGUGGUUUUCAGUUUUUUCUGUUUGUUGCUGUAUUUGUUGUUUGUUUUCCUUGUUUCUUUUUGAUUUUUCGAGGAGUCCAGAAUCCCGGCCUCUGCUUGGAACGGAACAGUGUCAUGGCGGAGACGACGGCCUUUGUCUUGCUGGGUGUGAAAACAUCCGCUGUGCUGGCUCCACUGCGGCAGAAUCAAGUUUAAAGGAAAAAAAGUGAUUAAAGUCAGCUUUGUGCCUCUGUGGUGUGGAAGACCCCCAAACCCCAAGUAGCCGAGUCCCAGGGUCCGAGGAAGGGCUCAUAGUUGGAGCAGCCUAGGCUGUAAUCCUGGCACUUGCGCCUUCGGUUGCUGCUUGCUGUUCGCUCCUGGGGGUCUGGAUAAUCUCCCUUGGCUUUACCGCACUGUCUGGCCCGCAUACAGGGCCCCGUAUCAUAUACCCGCUGCUGCUAUCACACGAAACUGUGGCGUUGCCCCUGAAUGGAUGGCACGGUGCCAACUCUUCUGCCAUCCGCCCUUGCAGCUUUUUUCUUUUCUCCCUCCCUCCCCUUCUUCUUCUCCUCCUCCCGUCGACUUGACGUUAAUUAACACUCGGGUUAAUUGAUUUUAAAAGCCGAAGAAUUACAGUUAACUUUUCCCACAGGGUACAGACGCCAGCCGCUUGGCACACUCUGCUUUUCGCACUGGUGCAGGGGAACAGGGAAAGCCCGCAGCAAAGCUAGCAACUGCUGAGGGAGCGUUGCCUGCUUAUUGGAGUAGAGCCGAUAGAAGUCGACGUGGCAUUGCCUCAUCCUUUACAAUAUAUGUAUCCAUUAUAUAUUUUGUUAAAUAAUCAAAA